GGCUUGGCAGCUCUGGAGUAAAUCCCCCCCUCUCAACUUUAGUCAAAUCACCCAACCUCUCUGAAGCCCCCCUGCUCAGACAGCUCGAACAAAAAGCACCAAGCGUCCUCUUCCCAGCUCUGUGUCACUGUAUCACGGGGGUUUCUGAGCUCCCUGCAGGCAGGUGAAGACCUGCUGCAUCUUCAGCACUGGGGUCGUUCUGAGCACCCUGGUGGCCACCAUUGUCCAUGCCACGGCUAUCACUACGAACCUUCCCGGGUGCGAGCACAACUGGCCUCACCAGCUGAGAGGGGAAGACUGCUUCUACACUGACAGAAAGAUCCUGAGCGACGGCUUGAACUUGACGUUCAUCAUCUUUUGCCUCCUGGAGUUCUGCAUAGCAGUGGCAGCCCUGACGUUCGGUUAUGCCGCCAUCAAGCAGCACAACUACAAGCACAUGGUUUUGUAACAUCAGCAGAGCCGGCGUCCUUCCCCACCAGGCCAAGACGGGCGUGCCUACCCACCCCUGUUGUCCCCCCGCCACGCCAAUGUGUUGGAGCCGCAGAAGCGGCUGCAGCGGUGGCACUGGGAGGCGGCGGGGGGCCGGGGGCAGAGGGGACGCUGCGGCUCUUGGCUCUUGUUCCGCGUGGUGUCUGCAAUAAACAGGUCACCCUGGCUGGCCU
rnacentral:lncRNA from 1 species